GUGAUGAUGAGGGUUUUGUUCUCCAGUCCCUCCCAGUCCCUCCCAGUGCCUCCCAGUGCUCCCAGUGCCCACCAGGAUGGUGGUGAUGAUGAGGGUUUUGUUCUCCAGUCCCUCCCAGUCCCUCCCAGUGCCUCCCAGUGCUCCCAGUGCCCACCAGGAUGGUGGUGAUGAUGAGGGUUUUGUUCUCCAGUCCCUCCCAGUCCCUCCCAGUGCUCCCAGUGCUCCCAGUGCCCACCAGGAUGGUGGUGAUGAUGAGGGUUUUGUUCUCCA